CAUUGUAUUAUAUUUUGAAAUUAAACAUUGUAUUAUAUUUUGAAAUUAAACAUUGUAUUAUAUUUUGAAAUUAUAUUAUAUUUUUAGUUGAAAGUAAAGGCACCUAUGACACUCUUCGAGCCAGCACAAAAUAUUGUUGAUAAUAUCCUAGCUGAGCAUGUGGAUAACAGAGAACCAGAGGCAUCCAGACCCAUUUAUUCGAACCUGCUUCGAUAUUGUAAUCGGUUCCGACAAAAAGAGAGACCAGCUGAUCCAACAGAUCUUGAUUUUGAGAUCAAUGAAGAGUUUUUGGCAACAGCUAUUCCGGAGGUGUUUUUACAGAAAGACAUACACACAAAAGAUGGCCGACACCUACUUUUUGCCACAGAGAAGCAAAUUGAACUUCUUGGAAAAGCUAAGACAUGGUAUAUAGAUGGUACUUUUAGAAUAGUAAACAAACCAUUUUACCAGCUAUUGUCAAUCCAUAGUUUUUUAAAAUCUGGUGAAAGUAUCAAGCAAGUUCCCUUGGCGUUUGUACUGAUGUCAGGAAAGUCUAAAAGAGACUACAAGAAGGUAUUCAAGGCCAUCAUGGAUAUGACACCAUCAGCCCCUGCAGUGCAGGCUUUUGUUGCAGAUUUUGAGGCAGGGAUCUGGCAGGCUUUAAGGUCAGUUUUCGACAACCCAAGUAUACAUGGCUGUGCGUUCCAUUGGGGUCAGGCGGUUUGGAGAAAGAUCCAAGAAAACGGACUUCAGACUGCUUACAGCCAGAAAGAUGCUGUAUAUAAGUUUUUUAGAAAAGUCCUUGCCUUGCCAUUCCUACCCGCUGAACAUAUAUUGCCAAAUGGUCUCAGAAGGAAAAUUAAGAAGACACCAGAAAAAACAAUCACGAACUACACAAAGCAAGUUAUUUCAACUUUGGAAUUUAUAUACCAGUCAGGAAAUAAGCACCAACCAGCUACUAAAAAGAUGUGGGGGGAUAUAUGGACCGAACUGAAGGACAGACUUACGUAAUAAAUGACUGACUGAACGACAAACUGACAGACUAAAUUACUAAAUGACUGGCCUAAUAAAAUGUAUUAGUUGAUGAUAUUGUUGAGGUUAUAAUAAAAUGUAUUAUUUAAUAAAUUGUUGAUGUAAUAAAUUCAUACAUAAAUGUAUUAUUUAAUAAAUUGUUGAUGUGAUAAAUUCAUACAUAAAUGUAUAAUUUAAUAAAUUGUUGAUGUAAUAAAUUCAUAUAUUAGUGAUUAUUUGUGGUAUUUAUUUGUAACUUGGAAUGAGUCGGGUGUUUUAAAAGUUGGGAUGAAUUGUCUUUUGACUUGGGAUGAGUUGUCUUUUGACUUGGGAUGAGUUGUCUUUAAA